rnacentral:rRNA from 1 species
AAUCAACGCUGGCGGCGUGCCUAACACAUGCAAGUCGAACGCGAAAGGGGCUUCGGCCCUGAGUAGAGUGGCGAACGGGUGAGUAACACGUGGGUGAUCUACCUCUGAGAGGGGGAUAACGUUCCGAAAGGAGCGCUAAUACCGCAUGACGUGCCGGGUUUGAAGACCUGGCCACCAAAGUCGGGGACCGCAAGGCCUGACGCUUGGAGAGGAGCCCGCGCCUGAUUAGCUAGUUGGUGAGGUAACGGCUCACCAAGGCGACGAUCAGUAGCCGGCCUGAGAGGGCGGACGGCCACACUGGGACUGAGACACGGCCCAGACUCCUACGGGAGGCAGCAGUGGGGAAUUGUUCGCAAUGGGCGCAAGCCUGACGACGCAACGCCGCGUGGAGGAUGAAGGUCUUCGGAUUGUAAACUCCUGUUGACCGGGACGAAUGGCUCCCGCACGAACAGUGCGGGGGAUGACGGUACCGGUUGAGGAAGCCACGGCUAACUCUGUGCCAGC